AGGGGUUUAGCAUAGGGGUUAGAGCAGUUGACUGCAGAUCAAGAGGUCCUCAGUUCAAAUCUGGCUGCCCCCU
rnacentral:tRNA from 1 species